rnacentral:rRNA from 1 species
UACAGAGGUCUCAAGCGUUGUUCGGAUUCAUUGGGCGUAAAGGGUGCGUAGGUGGCGUCGUAAGUCAGGUGUGAAAUCUCGGAGCUUAACUCCGAAACUGCAUUGAUACUGCGGUGCUUGAGGACUGGAGGAGGAGACUGGAAUUUACGGUGUAGCAGUGAAAUGCGUAGAGAUCGUAAGGAAGACCAGUGGCGAAGGCGGGUCUCGUGGACAGUUCCUGACACUGAGGCACGAAGGCCAGGGGAGCAAACGGG